UACAAGUAGGAGCUUGCCGAGCCUGAAGUUAGAAGGCUAGCCUACAAAGGAUCAAAACGAAGGAGCCAUGGUGGCUACGCUGUGCAAGAAAGAGGCAGACGAGAAGUUGUGAGAAGCAGCCAGAAGUUGCCACCGUGUGAAUUUUCUGCCCAAGGUUUCCAGGGCUGCCAGAGUUUCUGGCAGCUUGCUUUCUCAAGCAAGAAACUUCGCUUUCUCUGUCUAAAGGUCUUUUCUCAUGAUUUUGCUUCCCUGGGAGUGGCAGCGAGGCCCUGCCUUUUCACUGGCAGGCUUCUUUUCAGAUCUCAUAGCAUGGGGUAAAGGUUCCCCUCGCACAUAUGUGCUAGUCGUUGCCGACUCUAGGGGGCGGUGCUCGUCUCCGUUUCAAAGCCGAAGAGCCAGCGCUGUCCAAAGACGUCUCUGUGGUCAUGUGGCCGGCAUGACUCAAUGCCAAAAGGCGCACGGAACGCUGUUACCUUCCCAUCAGAGGAAGCGCUGAAGUCAACAAAAGAGGAACUCAGAUGGAAGGCUUGUGUCAAAGACUGCCAACUGCAAAAUAUGGAUAUAAUUUUAGAACAUUAUUUUAUAAUUAAAGUAAUAAGUGGGGUUUCCUGCUAUUGUUUAAAGAUGUGUCGUGAUACAUUUAAAUCAUGGAUGAAAAUAUAAGAAAAUGCUACUAAGACAGACGUUGGCAGCAAAGCUGGUACCAAGGGGAAAGAGCAGGCGAAGGACAUGUGCAAACAAUUUCGUGGGAAUAGUUCUGUUUAUGGCAUGUAGAUUUUGUUUUAGGAACUCUAACCACUUAGAAAGUAUUUUCAUUCAUGCCAGAAUGAGGUUUUGCUUGUUUGUUAUUGAACAUCUUAUGUGGAUAAACUAUUUUUUUUUUUACUGGCAAA